AAAUUCGCUAUUCUGAUUGGUUGACAAGCGGUCCGUAAAAACCCAUAUCCGGACCGUGGUCCGUAUUUUCUGUAUCUGGACCGGUGUCCCGGAUGUCGUUUAUCUGGCGGGAAAUUUUUGCUUUGCAAACAGAAAAUUUUUUUGCUUUUUAAUUUUCCAAUUGUUUGUCAUAAAAACCUCGGUCUGAUAUUUCACAGAUCCGACCUCACGCUCGGUCAAUAAGCCGUUAUUAUUCUAAUUUAACCAGUAGUACUGCACAUGUGCUCUAAUGUUUUCAGGUAAUGAAUGGCCAAGUGGUAGUUAUGGUCUCCCUAGAUCUAAAUCAGGAUGUCCAGGUGGUAAGAAAUUCGGGUGGCGUGAGGGCUGGAGGUAUCAGGAUAUGGAUGACAGUGGUAAGAGUAUCAGUAGUCGGUCAAGAGUAUCUAGUGGGUCACAUAUGGAUGUCACAUUAGUUGGAAAUAGAAAUGAUGUAAACAGGAAAUUCUGCAUGAAACAAAAUGCUGGAACACAAACAAGGUUUUGGCCUAAAGGUAAGGUUCUCUAUAUGCAUACACUGACGAUACCUAUGAUACAGCCAUCCAUAUGUUACAGUAUGAACUUCAUGGAUUCUGCAAGAGGCAUUUCGAUGCAAAUUGGGUUACUGAAUGGCAUGGAGGAGAACAGAACAAUGGGAUUUUCAAAACAAUGAAAACACAGUGUCAGUGAAACUUUCCGACCACCAUGGGCGGUGAUUUUAUCAAAUCACAAUUCUUAUGCUAAGUGUCCUUUACAGAAUACUAAAGCCUCAAAAUAUUCACUGCAGUCGUUCCUGUAAAAAAGAGAACCUCCAGCCCUCAUGUCAGCAGAAUGAUGCAUCAUGUCAUUUCUCAUGCCUUCAGAAUAAUUUUAUAAUAAUAUCUUGAUUCAUCAUGCCAUCAGAAUAAUUUUAUAAUAUCUUCAUUCCUCAUGCCAUCAGAAUGAUUUUUUUCAAAUCAAAAUGAUUUCUUCAUGUUGUAUACAUUUUUUGAAUGAUUUCCCCUCGAAAAUGUAUUUUUGUUUUGACAGGUUCAUAUUGCAUUUACAAGAGUGGAACGUGUCCGAAAGAUAUGAGAUCAGGCUGGGUGUUCUGGGAUGAUGAAGAUACUAACAACAAUAAUAAUCACGGAGGAUUUCUACCACAUGGUGUAUAUGAUGAAGAAACGAAGAUAUACUAUUGCUGUCAAACUGAUGGUAACUGGUAUGAUUCAAUUGAACUGCCAGUCAGUCAACCAUUUUAUUUAUUAACAUCCUUCUCUACUGACACUCCUAAAUGUCAGAUGGUGAAGUGGGCACUUAGUUACUUGGAGUAUAUUGUGUUUGAUACAGAAAAUAGGAGGAAUAGAGAUAACCAGCAAGGGGAACAUUUGUUUUUGGAUGGAAACAAGAAAUACUAUUGUUACUAUGAAGGUACGUUAAUAGAACUCGGUUCGUAGUACCAACCGAACAUUCAAAUAACGCUUUCUACAAUCGGGAAAAAAUUGCAUUUGAAAAAAUGUAUACCUCGUGUACGGUAGCUAAGGAUGGAGGAUUUAAACAUCAGUUCAAAGCAUCCAACUGUUUAAUAAUCUUUUAUGACAUAUGCUUAAACCACUGUCUGAAUUGAUUGUGCAUGCAUUUCUGGGCAGAGCUCAUAUUGAAGGCUGAUAAUUGUCUAGUAUCAACCAUAGAUAUCUUAUAUACACUAGAUAGUGCAUCUAAUUAUUCUGCAAUUCAAAAAUUGAAGCCGUGAUUGCAGACUCAGGAUAUUCCCAUGAAAUGAGAAGACUCGUAUGUUUUCUAUUUCUUAAACAAGGAACUUAAACAUUAAGUUAAACCUAUUCCAAAUACAUUUUCGAACUAUUCAAAUGAUGAAAGUUGUUGUUUUUUAAGCGUUUAUUAGCGAGUGGUAAACUUCAACAUGGCCGCCAUCUAUUCAAAUGGGGGUAACCGCUGGAAUAUUCUGGGCUUCAAUUUUACUAAAAGAGAUGCGCUAUGUAGUGUAUAUAAGAUAUCUAUGGUAUCAACCCAGGUUGAAAUUCUUUGGCUAUGAGAUUAAGAUUACAUUAUGAUAUUAUGAAAUAAAUUUGAGUCAGAACAAUGAGUGAUGGCAUGGAGAACAGUGGGAUUUUCAAAACAAUGAAAAGACGAUGGAAGUAUCUAACAUUCCAAUUACUGGAUCAUACUUUACUGGACAAUACUAUAAUAUGAUAAAUAAUGAAAGAACUAUCGUUUUUAAAACGUACCAGAUAUUUCUUAACAAACAAUCAUUUCUUAACAGACUUAACAGAUGUCUGUAUUUAACUAUUUUUAACUAACAUACAUGCUAGUCAUAGUCAUAGAUUAGAAUAGAUAACUGACAAGUAGCUACAUUUUAAUGGUAAAUAAUUUAGAAUUUAUAAUAGUUUUGUUUGUGGAAACAUCACGUAAAUUUAUUACUGCAAAGCUCUCGAUCCGUUAGCCCGGAUCUUCAUCAGUGCUAAUCUUCAUCCGUUAGCCCGGAUCUUCAUCAGCCCGGUGCUUCAUCAGUGCUCACGCGCCCUUUUUAUAUACAAAUUUGUAAAGUUACACGUUGAUGUCACUUUUUGAAAACAAAGACUUAAUAACAAUUUUGAUAAUACUGCCUAGAUUUUAGCUUUGAUUUUUAAGAUCCUUUAAUUGUAUUUCAGAGUGCCGCCGUACAAUGACUGGUCUUAGUGGUUCAUUUAGAUCACAUAAGGCUGCAGUUAGUGAGAUGGAUCCACGCUCGCAGUAUUGUUCCUGGUUAAUUACGCUUGCUGAAACAUACAACGUGUCAUUGAGCUUUAAAGAGCUGACCAUACCAAGUUGUAAUGAUACAUUUCUGAGAAUAUAUAAUGGUUCAAAUGGUGCUGCCCCGUUGCUUGGCACAUAUUGCGGUUCAAAUGCAAGCACAGAAGUCGUGGUUUCAUUAACCACAAAUAGUUUAUACAUCGUGUCAAACUCUGGAAGUUGUGGACGAAAUCGUAAAAAUACUUUUACUUUUCAUGCAGUAUAUAUUGUUGAAAUUUUGGCAGGUUGGUAUAGUUGUAUUUGUAAUAAAUUGAUAAUUCUAACGUUAUUAACCUGGCCGUAUACCAGAUAAUGAUAUUCGGAUUAUGGAUCUUGACUCAUGGAUUUCUGCAUCAUGACAAUGGAUUGCGAAUUCCAUCCUCAUAAAAGUCAAUGGAUUCCCUUAUCGGGAUUCUGGAUUAUAUUAACAAACUGGAUUCCAGGUCCCACUGUGUGGAUUCUGGAUUCAGUGCUCUGGAUUCCGGAGUCCGAAGCGCAAAUUUGGAUAACGGGUUCCUUACACACAGAGUGAUAUUAUCUGACCAUCCGUUUCCAGUAGGUAAACCGAUAUAUAGUAGGUGGGUAGUAGAUUUUUACUAAAUAGAAUAGUGAAACUGCGGUCGUUGCUCAUCCUUUACUUGAUGCCAGUUCUAAGUUAUAGCGUUUGUUUACGCUUUUAGAAAUUCAACCUAGUUAACUGCUUUCGGUGGGUAAUAAUAAAGGAAUACCGAAUGGUUUUCCGUGCAGGAUUGCGUGAUCCAUGCACGAGGGAAGUUCUGUUUCUAAGGUCCCGUUUACAUGAGACCGGGACGAAGUGAAACCGGAAUGAAAAUUGAAAUUGUCAAUAUGUUUACAUCACAAAAUUUUCAAUUUAUUCCUCUUGCCAGGGAAUUUUCUUGUUUAGAUAGCUUUUGUUAGCAUGUGUUGUUCCAAUGUCAAGGUUACAGCCGAGACCGGUCUGAAAUGCAUUUGUGUUUACAUUCAUCUCGGUCUGAAUUCAUGCCGUUCUGAAGUCAGUCGGGUCGGUCCAGCAGGCGGAAUGACUUGAGACUGGUCUGAGUUAUUUUUCAUCCCAGUCUCAUGUAAAUAUCUAUUAUAAAUAAUACUAGGAGUUACUAUCGCAAGGAAAAUGCUGCCGAUAUGUACAUGUAGGAUGUGCUACAAAAAGAGCGUUUUUCACUGUAUGUAUGAUUUAUUGUCUUACACAUCGUCGUUCCUCAGUUCCCUUCGUACAAUUAUAUCUUACAUCUAAUCUUAUGAAAAGUAUAUUUUAAUAUACUUAACAGUGCG